AGCGAACGCUGGCGGCAGGCCUAACACAUGCAAGUCGAACGAACUCUUCGGAGUUAGUGGCGGACGGGUGAGUAACACGUGGGAACGUGCCUUUUGGUUCGGAAUAACUCAGGGAAACUUGUGCUAAUACCGAAUGUGCCCUUCGGGGGAAAGAUUUAUCGCCAUUAGAGCGGCCCGCGUCUGAUUAGCUAGUUGGUGAGGUAACGGCUCACCAAGGCGACGAUCAGUAGCUGGUCUGAGAGGAUGACCAGCCACACUGGGACUGAGACACGGCCCAGACUCCUCGGGGAGGGAGAGGGGGGAAAUGUUGCGAAAGGGGAGAAAGCAGGACGACGCAAGCCCGGGUGAAUAAUGAGGUUUUUAGGAUUGAAAAUUUUUUCCACGGGGGAGAAUAAUGGCGGACCCGGGAAAAAAAGCCCCGGCAAACUCCGUG
rnacentral:rRNA from 1 species